rnacentral:tRNA from 1 species
GCCCGGGUGGUCUAGUGGUAUGAUUCUCGCUUAGGGUGCGAGAGGUCCCGCGUUCGAUCCGCGACUCGGGCC